AUCUGUAUUAGUGAGCACUUCUCCUUUGCCGAGAUAAUCCAUCCACCUCACAGGUGUGGCAUAUGAUUACUGCACAGGUGUGGCUUAGGCUGGCCACAAUAAGGCACUCCUGUGCAAUAACCAUGCUGUCUAAUCAGCAUCUUGAUAUGCCACACCUUUGAGGUGGAUGGAUUAUCUCGGCAAAGGAGAAGUGCUCACUAACACAGAU